GUUAGACUCUGGUUAUGAGCCCAUCACGGAGUGACCGUCUUGGUAUAUGAUACCAUCUGUGCAUCAUGAGGUUGUUACCAGGGAGAAGAAGCAGAAAUAAGAGAGAGAUGAGAAAGUCUCUAAAGUGGGAAUGGGGCAGAGCAUGAUGGGUCCAAGUAUAUCGGAGACUAGCACCUUAAAGCUUGGCAGCAGGCCAGAUGGCAAGACCUCAGAAGAGAAUGAAUUGUGGUGUGUCCAGACUGUGGAAUCCAAGCAGAGAUUUUUAUGUCCAGCCAUCUCCAUGAAUUGACGGCUCGUCUAUGAGUUGGCUGCCCUUGGGUCAAGUUCAAAAAGCUGUGGCUAGAGAGAGGCCAGAGUCCUGUGUACAGAAGAUGGCUUUCCCUCUCAAGAAAGUGCUUCCUUCAAAAGAGGCUGUACACAAGCAAAUGUCCUUCUCCCUCAGAAAAAACAAUGGGAAGGGACUCAGGAGGUUCAACCUGUGAACUCCCCAGGUAUCAAGUGACUGCUUUCGAGAUACAACCAUUCCCUUCUCAGCUUACUUCCAGAAUGUAUUUUCAGAGGGAAUGUCAUUUUUGAAGGUCUAUUGUUAACUGAAGACUCCUUGUCUUUUCAAAUUCCUUCAUGUGAAUGGAUGAGGCCAGACAUCUGCC